UAUGAGAUUGACUAACACACUGCUAUCAAAAAGUUUUGUUUUAGAGCCAGAAUAGCUUCGGCCCUGGCAGUAAUUAAUACCUAAUUAAACAGUGCUAUUUUACUUUUUCUUAAUAUAUCUUACUUUCUGCGCAAGAUAAACUUCACGUCAUGGAUUCGCUUUCAUUAUUAUCUCCUAAUCCCAGCCUGAAAUGCCAAUAACAAAUGCUUUCCAUGCCUGUCCGAAAGAUAGGAAUAAUCUUUCUGUAUAUUUAUUGCUUUAGCGUUCAUUUAGAAGUAAUUUAACUUUGGAGUUGAUCUACUGGAAGGAGAAGUAUGGUUCUGGAUAAAGAUGAAUGGUUUUAGUACAAAAACAAAGGGUGUUGGAUCAGCAGUCUGCCACUGUGUUGUAUUUGUCAUCAACUGGAGAGGGUGGUUUCCAACAUAAAUAUUUUGAAAGGAGAAGUUUGUAAGAGACCAUUUUGGCUACGCACUAUGGUUUUCAUGCUAUGCCACUUCGUUGUUUCCUUAAGAAGGGGGAUUGCAGCAUUGUUCCAGAUAUCAAACUGUCUUUCCAAAACUAUGAUUGUUAGUAAAGCAGCUCUGCCUGCAUUAGAUAACAAUUUCAGAAUAUUUUUCGUGGAUGAUCUUGAUAGAUGCCAGGAAGCUGUUAUUUUACAGUUUUUUCGAAGGACAGUUGGGUGUGUACAAACAAUACGGCGAGGAGUAGGAGGAUACAGAAGAUGUGCAAGUUGAUGAAAGUCAGCAUAUUUAAAUACCAGGUGACCAAAGUGAUUGUGCUUUGAUUCCAUUAAGGGAGAUGCUGUUCGUAAGGUAUAGUGAAUCAGAACACCAAGCCUUCUUUUAUUUUUAUAAGUUGACUACAAAUUGAAAAAAAUUGCCUAGAGAGUGGAAGAGUCUUCUCAGUUAUCAUGGAUUGGUGUGGAAUAUCCUCUCUCUAAGCAAUUGUAUAAAGUAUUUAGCUGGAUGGAAGGUACAAUAUCACCUGGAUAUUUGUAUGCUGGGAAUGGCAAGUAAAUAUGAAAAUUCCUGUACAGAACUGGAACAGAAUUGGCUGUCUAAGAAACUCAGAAGCCAAUGGACCUUCACUAGAAUGAUAGUGCAGCAUUUAUUAAAAAACUGAAAGACUGAUUACAGAUAAUUAUGAAAUGAGAGAGAGAAAACCAGAUAUAUAUGUAAAAUACAGAAAGCAGGAAAUGCUCCUAAAAUCACAUAUGACCCUGAAAGAAACAACAGGACUUUGGAAACUCAAUGUAGUUGCAAAGGAGAGGGUGAUAGCACUGAACAAUUCUGAAGUAAACACUUCUAAAACUGGAGAAGAUCCCAAAACCUGCAAUAAGGCAUCAUAGAAACUAAAAAGGAGGUGCAAAGGAGAGGAUGAUAGCUCCGAACAAUUCUGAUUAUGAGAGUUUUAAUGCUGGAGAAGAUCCCAAAACUUGCAAAAGAGCUUCAGAGAAACUAAAGGAAGAUGCAGAGGAGAGGAUGAGGAUGAUAGCUCUGAACAAUUCUGAUUAUGACAGUUCUAAUAUUGGAGGAGAUCCCAAAAUCUGCAACAGGGCAUCAGAGAAACAUAAACUCAAAGGACGAGAGGAUGAUGGCUUUGAAUGAUUCUGAAAAUAAAAGCACUAAAGCUGUGGAAGAUACUAAAAUUAGCAAUAGGGCAUCAGAGAAACCCAAAGAAGAUGAAAAGGAGAUGAUGAUGGCACUGAUUGAUUAUUAAGAUAACAGUACUAAAACUGAAGAAGAUUCUGAAAUCAGUAAUAGGGCAUCAAAGAAUCUUAAGAGGAGAUGCAAAGGAGAGGAUGAUGACAUGAAAGACUGAAGAUGAUAAUACUAAAGCUGGAGAGGUUUCUGGGGCUGGCAACAAGGCAUCAAAGAAACUCAAAGGAGAUGAGAAGAGGAUGAUAAAAGUGAAUGGUUCUAUUAAUGACAAUGCUAAAACUGGAGAAGUUCUUGAGGCCAACAAUAACACAUCAGAGAAACUUGAAGCAGAUGAAAAGGAGAGGAUGGUGGAAUUGAACAAUUCUGAAGAUAACAGUGCUAAAGCUGAAGAAGACCCUGAAAUUAGCAAUAGGGCAUCAGAAAAAACUCAAAGGAGAUCCAAGGAGAGGAUGGUCGCUCUGAUUCUCUGAAGAUAAUAUUGGUGAAGCUGGAAAAGUUUCCGAAGUUGACAGCUAAAACUGUUCAUCAGAGAGACUUGAAGGAGAUGCAAAGAGGUACACAAUGGCAGUGAAUGAUUCCGAAGAUGACAGCUAAAAUUGGAGAUCCUAAAAUCAGUAACAAACAAGUGGAAGAAUUCAAACUAGUUGCCAUGGACAAGGCAAGCACUGACAAGAAAUCUCUAAAAUUGGAAAUGAUCUUGAAAGCAGCAGCAAGGUUAGAAAAGACAAACUGGAUGGAGCUUUGAGAAGUUCACAUGUUAAAUGUACAAAGGAACUGUAUGAGAUGGAGAAAGAGAUAAAAGUUCUCAUGACAGAUGAUCCGAAGAAAGAGAUAAAACAUCUCAAGGCUGAUGAGCUGAGGAUUCUGUUGGAUUGAAGAAAGAAAUAAAGGAAUUAAAGGAGCAAAUUGGUUGCCUAAUACUAAAACAAAAAAUUGGUAAGAAUAAAGAAAAAUAUAAACCCCCAAAACUGGUGGAAAUUGGAAUGGACAUUGAACAAAUAUGAUGUUCCAAAUUGCAGUGGAUUCUAUGUAAGCUUUUCAAAGGUUUACAUUUUCCUUCAUAGCUGCACCAUUACGGAAAGAGGAGAAUGGAGAUUUAAUAAUAAAAAGUGCAGAUUGACCAUCCUAACAGUAUAUCUUUGUUAACGUGUUACUCUUCUGGGUAACACUUUUUGUUUUUCAGUUUUGUUAGUUUUUUUAUUUUCUUCUUAGUUGCUUUGGCAGUUCAACUGUUUCAUGAAUGUCUUUAAAAUAAGAAUGUAAUCUUCAAUUUUAACAUUAAUAAGAUUGCAUCAUUCUCUCCUGCUCA